GACGAACGCUGGCGGCGUGCUUAACACAUGCAAGUCGAACGGAAAGGCCCUGCUUUUGUGGGGUGCUCGAGUGGCGAACGGGUGAGUAACACGUGAGUAACCUGCCCUUGACUUUGGGAUAACUUCAGGAAACUGGGGCUAAUACCGGAUAGGAGCUCCUGCUGCAUGGUGGGGGUUGGAAAGUUUCGGCGGUUGGGGAUGGACUCGCGGCUUAUCAGCUUGUUGGUGGGGUAGUGGCUUACCAAGGCUUGGACGGGUAGCCGGCCUGAGAGGGUGACCGGCCACAUUGGGACUGAGAUGCGGCCGAGACGCCUACGGGAGGCAGCAGGGGGGAAUAUUGCAGAAUGGGCGGAAGACUGAUGCAGCAACGCCGCGUGCGGGAUGACGGCAUUCGGGUUGUAAACCGCUGUCGCCUGUGACGAAGCGUGAGUGACGGUAAUGGGUAAAGAAGAACCGGCUAACUACG
rnacentral:rRNA from 1 species